CCUACGAGAGGCAGCAGUGAGGAAUAUUGGUCAAUGGACGGAAGUCUGAACCAGCCAUGCCGCGUGCAGGAAGACGGCUCUAUGAGUUGUCAACUGCUUUUGUACAAGGGUAAACCUGAAUACGUGUAUUCAGCUGAAAGUACUUUACGAAUAAGGAUCGGCUAACUCCGUUCCAGCCGCCGCGGUAAUAAGGAGGAUCCAAGCGUUAUCCGGAUUUAUUGGGUUUAAAGGGGGCGUAGGCGGAUGUAGAAGUGAGAGGUGAAAUGUCCGAGCUUAAUUCGGGAACUGCCUCGAAUACUGUUGAUCUAGAGAGUAGAUGCGGUAGGCGGAAGGUAUGGUGUAGCGGUGAAAUGCUUAGAGAUCAUACAGAACACCGAUUGCGAAGGCAGCUUACCAAUCUAUAUCUGACGUUGAGGCACGAAAGCGUGGGGAGCAAACAGGAUUAGAUACCCCAGUAGUC
rnacentral:rRNA from 1 species